UUUAGGCUUCUACUUUUUUCUUUUUCUUUUUUUCCUUUUUUUUUUUAAUAAGAAACUAAAUCAGGCACAUAACAUGGGUCUUUCAAAAACUUGAAGAAGUCCUGCAAAUCCAUUCGCAUGUUUUCCUCCACAGACUCGACUCAAGACCAUUUGUGCAGACCAGGCUGUUGAAUUUCUAUGCAAAAUAUGAAGAGAUUGGGUGUGCAUGUGGGGUGUUUGAUGAAAUUCCUAAGAGGAAUUUGAUCAUGUGGAGUGUAAUGAUUUGUGUGACUCAAUCAUUUCAAAAUCUGAGAACUUUGAAUUAAAAACUCCAUGGGAAGUGUUGAUGAUAAUCAAAUAGUCUACAACAAGCCAACCAAUCAGUGGCCUGCAAAAGCAGCGGUUUUCUCAAAACAGAGAUGAUCUGUGUAGCUCAUCAUGAUGCCCUAGCUUAAUGGUCCUGUGGGUCCUGAUAACUAUCUUUCAUGUGUGGUAGGAUUCCUUGAUUGAUUGAUUCAAAGACAUUUGAUUCUCAGGUUCAUGUCGCCCAUGAUGCCCUGGCUUAACGGUUGUUGUUUUCUCGCAUCAAUGAAGAGCUUGAUCAAAUAAAGAAAGUGAAAAAUGGAUGAAGAUGGUCAGGUCAUGCAGGUGGACCGUUCACCCAUUUGAAGUUAGAGAUCUUCCUUAGCUCAGGAACUGUUUGCCUCUCUAUUUAUUCAUUGGUUGCCGGGAUCUUUGGCGUGAAUCUCCCAUAUACAUGGAAUCUAAACCAUGGAUAUCUAUUUAAAUGGGAAUUGACUCUGCUUCCCAACUGCUACAUUGAGGAUAAGAUGUGGCUGCUGAAAUUGUACAUUAAGGUAAUUGAUUAUGGAGUUCAUAAGCUUUGGAAAUACAAUAACGUUGGGGUAUUUCAUCUAUUACCUACCUUGUCAAUUCCAUGUUGAAUUGCCUCAUUGAGCUGCUUGUGAAAACUAUCCGGUCCUCUUCUUAAUAGACCUUUUUUUUUUUUUCAAAAGGAGGGGUCUCACCCCCAUAUUUGACAAUAUGAACAGGGGAUGUACAAUCCACACACAUUCAGGUGGGCACCACAAAAAUGUCGGGCCUCACAAUCAAGUGUUGCUGCAAAUUCGUUUAAAGCAAGCCGUUUCAUAUUUCUGGUGUGGCCCUAUUUAAAUCAAGGGAAGGCAUCUCCUCUCACAUUGUUCCCUUGUGUUGUGGCCCACAUGACUGUUGGAUCAGGUGGAUUUAGGUAAUGUGUGGUGAUACAUCUGAUAGAUAGGGUUGGUGGCCUUCAUACAUCAAGUGGGUGCCACAUACCAGUACCACUCUAGCAUAGCUGGGAUGAGACCAUGAUGAUGAU